rnacentral:tRNA from 1 species
GGAUUGUGAAUCCACCAUGCGCGACGA